ACAACAGCCCUGCAGACUAGAAUUCUGUAUUUAUCCACAGGGUAGAUACAGCAUGAGCAGCAAUAAGACAAGCUCCGUUCUUGUCCUAAAUCGCCAGCCUGAGGUCACCCACAUUUUGGUUUGAGAGGGGAGAUAAUUUUGCAUGAACAUUUAGCCUUUGACCUCU
rnacentral:sRNA from 1 species